rnacentral:rRNA from 1 species
CCUACGGGCGGCAGCAGUGAGGAAUAUUGGUCAAUGGACGCAAGUCUGAACCAGCCAUGCCGCGUGCAGGAAGACGGCUCUAUGAGUUGUAAACUGCUUUUGUACGAGGGUAAACGCAGAUACGCGUAUCUGUCUGAAAGUAUCGUACGAAUAAGGAUCGGCUAACUCCGUGCCACCAGCCGCGGUAAUACGGAGGAUUCAAGCGUUAUCCGGAUUUAUUGGGGUUAAAGGGUGCGUAGGCGGUCGGAUAAGUUAGAGGUGAAAUCCCGAGGCUCAACUUCGGAAUUGCCUCUGAUACUGUCCGGCUAGAGAGUAGUUGCGGUAGGCGGAAUGUAUGGUGUAGCGGUGAAAUGCUUAGAGAUCAUACAGAACACCGAUUGCGAAGGCAGCUUACCAAGCUACUUCUGACGUUGAGGCACGAAAGCGUGGGGAGCAAACAGGAUUAGAUACCCGAGUAGUC